rnacentral:rRNA from 1 species
UACGGGGGGAGCAAGCGUUGUUCGGAUUUACUGGGCGUAAAGGGCGCGUAGGCGGCCACAACAAGUCACUUGUGAAAUCUCCGGGCUUAACUCGGAACGGUCAAGUGAUACUGUUGGGCUAGAGUGCGGAAGGGGCAACUGGAAUUCUCGGUGUAGCGGUGAAAUGCGUAGAUAUCGAGAGGAACACCUGCGGCGAAGGCGGGUUGCUGGGGACGUGCCGACGCUGAGACACGAAAGCCAGGGGAGCAAACGGG